CACAAGCGGUGGAGCAUGUGGUUUAAUUCGAUGCAACGCGAAGAACCUUACCUGGGCUUGACAUCCCGGGAAUCCCUUGGAAACAAGGGAGUGCCCUUCGGGGAACCUGGAGACAGGUGCUGCAUGGCUGUCGUCAGCUCGUGUCGUGAGAUGUAGGGUUUAAGUCCCGCAACGAGCGCAACCCUUGUCUUUAAUUGCCAUCAUUGAGUUGGGCACUUUAAAGAGACUGCCGGUGUUAAACUGGAGGAAGGUGGGGAUGACGUCAAAUCAUCAUGCCCCUUAUGACCUGGGCUACACACGUGUUACAAUGGUCGGUACAGAGGGCAGCUACCUGGUGACAGGAUGCUAAUCUCGAAAACCGGUCUCAGUUCGGAUCGAAGUCUGCAACUCGACUUCGUGAAGCUGGAUUCGCUAGUAAUCGCGCAUCAGCUAUGGCGCGGUGAAUACGUUCCCGGGCCUU
rnacentral:rRNA from 1 species